rnacentral:rRNA from 1 species
CAGUAGCCGCGGUAAAACGGAGGGUGCAAGCGUUAAUCGGAAUUACUGGGCGUAAAGCGCACGCAGGCGGUCUGUCAAGUCGGAUGUGAAAUCCCCGGGCUCAACCUGGGAACUGCAUUCGAAACUGGCAGGCUAGAGUCUUGUAGAGGGGGGUAGAAUUCCAGGUGUAGCGGUGAAAUGCGUAGAGAUCUGGAGGAAUACCGGUGGCGAAGGCGGCCCCCUGGACAAAGACUGACGCUCAGGUGCGAAAGCGUGGGGAGCAAACAGGAUUAGAUACCCGCGUAGUCCCUGUCUCUUAUAA